rnacentral:rRNA from 1 species
UACGGCGGGUGCAAGCGUUGUCCGGCUUUCUUGGGUUUAAAGGGUGCGUAGGUGGUCUUCUAAGUCUGGUUUGAAAGCAAGUGGCUCAACCAUUUGAUGUGGCUGGAAACUGGGGGACUUGAAUGGAUUGGCGGUAGCCGGAAUGGGUCAUGUAGCGGUGAAAUGCAUAGAUAUGACCCGGAACACCGAUUGCGAAGGCAGGCUACUACGAUUUGAUUGACACUGAGGCACGAGAGCAUGGGUAGCGAACAGG